rnacentral:rRNA from 1 species
GAAAGUGGGGGAGGGGUGAGUAACGCGUGAGGAACCUGCCUUGAAGAGGGGGACAACAGUUGGAAACGACUGCUAAUACCGCAUGAUGCAUAAGGGUCGCAUGAUUCUUAUGCCAAAGAUUUAUCGCUUCAAGAUGGCCUCGCGUCUGAUUAGCUAGUUGGCGGGGUAACGGCCCACCAAGGCGACGAUCAGUAGCCGGACUGAGAGGUUGAACGGCCACAUUGGGACUGAGAUACGGCCCAGACUCCUACGGGAGGCAGCAGUGGGGAAUAUUGGGCAAUGGGCGCAAGCCUGACCCAGCAACGCCGCGUGAAGGAAGAAGGCUUUCGGGUUGUAAACUUCUUUUAAGAGGGAAGAGCAGAAGACGGUACCUCUAGAAUAAGCCACGGCUAACUACGUGCCAGCAGCCGCGGUAAUACGUAGGUGGCAAGCGUUGUCCGGAUUUACUGGGUGUAAAGGGCGUGCAGCCGGGUCUGCAAGUCAGAUGUGAAAUCCAUGGGCUCAACCCAUGAACUGCAUUUGAAACUGUAGAUCUUGAGUGUCGGAGGGGCAAUCGGAAUUCCUAGUGUAGCGGUGAAAUGCGUAGAUAUUAGGAGGAACACCAGUGGCGAAGGCGGAUUGCUGGACGAUAACUGACGGUGAGGCGCGAAAGUGUGGGGAGCAAACAGGAUUAGAUACCCUGGUAGUCCACACUGUAAACGAUGAAUACUAGGUGUGCGGGGACUGACCCCAUGCGUGCCGCAGUAA